rnacentral:lncRNA from 1 species
UAGCCUCUAACCUUUUCCUUAACCCUUCUAAACCUACUUUUAGUUUUCAGAAGCAAGUGGGCAGGAUUUGUUUUGAAAACAUGGCAAUCCUGAUUCCUUCUAAUCACAGAUUCCCUUUACUGACGAGAUGCGCAUGAAAAUCGCAUUCGAUUUUUUGCACAGCCCUACCAUUUAGUUAACAAAGCUAAACAGCGUUGCCCUUUGUGUAAUAAGUUACAGAAACUGUUAAACGCACCAACUUAAAUAAUAAAAUACACUUACCGGUUGUGGUCCAUAAACAACACCUUCUCCAGACAAAGAGGGAACUGCUCCAUCUUUCAAGAAUAAUCUUUGUGCGAAUCCGGCAUUAAACUGAUUGAGAUUGAGAAAUCUGUCCUCAGCUGAAUGUGCUGCACAUAGUUUUACAUGUGGAUUAAAUUUUCGGGAACCGAGUUAAACAUAAAUUGUAACCAUUGAUCUCUAAACGUCCCUGGGAAGGUCAAACAAAGGUGAUUGGACUCCGAGAUGAAAAUAACAGUGGUUCGAUGACAUGGGCGACAAACACACUCUUCAAACCAGUGUUGUGGGUAACGCGUUACAAAGUAACGCGUUAGAGUACUCUAAUUACUUUUUUCCUGAAAUUUGUAACUUAACGCGUUAGUUUCGUGCGUAAGUAAUCAGUAACUUCGUUAUUUUUUUUUAAAAAGUAAUCCGUUAUUUUAAGGAAAGGAAAAUCCCGACUGCAGCCUGCUUUUUGUCAGACAGUAGUCCUAGGUCUACUGUGCCACCUGCGGAUGUAUCAGCGGAGCCGAAGCUCUGUGAUCGUAAAGUCAAUGGCUGUGAUGCGUCUGCCUGUGUGUGGGUGGGGUUUUUUUUUUUUUCGAACUCCCGGCAAGAUAGCAGAGAGGACAGCGUUUGGUUUAUGGAAGUACGCACAUUAUUUUCAAUUUGUCAACGAAAAAGAAAUCGACUGUCGGACAAACGUUUCGAAAAUCUGCUUCUGCUACGUUUUAAUCACUACUUUGAAGAGUAAAUGUAAGAGGACUGUGUUACAGCGAAUUUAGGCUUGUGACUGUGAGUGACACUUUAAUAAUAAUUAGUUCGGCUAUUAAGCGAUUUGUCAUUUGCCUGUGUGGCAGUGAAGGAUUUAAUUCGGUUUGUUAUCAUUUUUGUUUGACAGGCAGCUGUUAAUUUCUGUUAGAUCGUUGGCUGGCUGGUUGUUCAUCAUUUCUAAAUGGAUUUAAAUCUGCAAGCCUGUUUAAGGUUGUGUUUACAAGUAAGCAUACUUGUACUUUGAUAACUGCAUUAUUUAAAGUUAAAGAAAAAUCAGGAGUUAUCUUGUGGUGCUCAUAAUAUACAGUAGCCUAGGCUACUCGGGCUGGGUAACGUUAGGUGCGAAUUUUGAUUAAUAAUAUGUUCUGUGAUAAUAAAUAAAUAAAACGCCAUGUGGAAUAGCCGAUUGCUGACUGUCUUUCCUGUUAUUGUUAUCCUGCAGUGUUAAUUUAGUCGGAUGUCUGACGUUAUUCAUUGUCGCGAGUCACGACUUCUAGGUGCAUUUAAAGGGGCCGGGGGCUGUGUCUGUCGUGUGUGAGCCGCUGCAAACGGCUUUUAAUUUUUGGUAACGCAUGAGUACUCUAACGCGUUACUUUUAUGAAUAGGUAACGCUGUAUCAUAACUAAUUACUUUUAAAUGAUGGUAACGUUGUAACUUAACUAACUACUUUCCAAAGUAACUAUACCCAACACUGAUGUACAGUAUGUUUUUUUUUUUUUUUUUUACCUUAAACCACAUAAACACAUUGCAUUACAUAAAAUACACAAAACUAUGUUCUUUUUAGCAACAUCGUAUCACCCCUUUAACAUAUCUUAUCCAGAG